AUUGCAAAGAGUGGCGAACGGGUGAGUAACACGUGGGAAACCUACCUCUUAGCAGGGGAUAACAUUUGGAAACAGAUGCUAAUACCGUAUAACAAUGACAACCGCAUGGUUGUUAUUUAAAAGAUGGUUCUGCUAUCACUAAGAGAUGGUCCCGCGGUGCAUUAGCUAGUUGGUAAGGUAAUGGCUUACCAAGGCGAUGAUGCAUAGCCGAGUUGAGAGACUGAUCGGCCACAAUGGGACUGAGACACGGCCCAUACUCCUACGGGAGGCAGCAGUAGGGAAUCUUCCACAAUGGGCGAAAGCCUGAUGGAGCAACGCCGCGUGUGUGAUGAAGGGUUUCGGCUCGUAAAACACUGUUGUAAGAGAAGAAUGACAUUGAGAGUAACUGUUCAAUGUGUGACGGUAUCUUACCAGAAAGGAACGGCUAAAUACGUGCCAGCAGCCGCGGUAAUACGUAUGUUCCAAGCGUUAUCCGGAUUUAUUGGGCGUAAAGCGAGCGCAGACGGUUAUUUAAGUCUGAAGUGAAAGCCCUCAGCUCAACUGAGGAAUUGCUUUGGAAACUGGAUGACUUGAGUGCAGUAGAGGAAAGUGGAACUCCAUGUGUAGCGGUGAAAUGCGUAGAUAUAUGGAAGAACACCAGUGGCGAAGGCGGCUUUCUGGACUGUAACUGACGUUGAGGCUCGAAAGUGUGGGUAGCAAACAGGAUUAGAUACCCUGGUAGUCCACACCGUAAACGAUGAGUGCUAGGUGUUUGAGGGUUUCCGCCCUUAAGUGCCGCAGCUAACGCAUUAAGCACUCCGCCUGGGGAGUACGACCGCAAGGUUGAAACUCAAAGGAAUUGACGGGGGACCCGCACAAGCGGUGGAGCAUGUGGUUUAAUUCGAAGCAACGCGAAGAACCUUACCAGGUCUUGACAUCCCUUGACAACUCCAGAGAUGGAGCGUUCCCUUCGGGGACAAGGUGACAGGUGGUGCAUGGUUGUCGUCAGCUCGUGUCGUGAGAUGUUGGGUUAAGUCCCGCAACGAGCGCAACCCUUAUUACUAGUUGCCAGCAUUCAGUUGGGCACUCUAGUGAGACUGCCGGUGACAAACCGGAGGAAGGUGGGGAUGACGUCAAAUCAUCAUGCCCCUUAUGACCUGGGCUACACACGUGCUACAAUGGCGUAUACAACGAGUUGCCAACCCGCGAGGGUGAGCUAAUCUCUUAAAGUACGUCUCAGUUCGGAUUGUAGGCUGCAACUCGCCUACAUGAAGUCGGAAUCGCUAGUAAUCGCGGAUCAGCACGCCGCGGUGAAUACGUUCCCGGGUCUUGUACACACCGCACGUCACACCAUGAGAGUUUGUAACACCCAAAGCCGGUGGG
rnacentral:rRNA from 1 species